AAGGAUCAUUACCAACUUCCCGGAGGCUCCCCCUUCGUUCGCGUUGGGGUGCGCUAGACCCCGGGUUAUGUUUAAACACUCUGUGUACCUUUACCUUUGUUGCUUCCCGCCGGGCGUGAAAACUCGACGGGAAGGUCUACCAAAUUUCUGUUUUUAAAUGCAGUCAGUAACGGCGUCUAGUACGCUUUGAAUAUAAAAGUUAAAACUUUCAACAACGGAUCUCUUGGUUCUC
rnacentral:misc_RNA from 1 species